rnacentral:rRNA from 1 species
UACGUAGGGGGCAAGCGUUAUCCGGAUUUACUGGGUGUAAAGGGAGCGUAGACGGCAUGGCAAGUCUGAUGUGAAAACCCGGGGCUCAACCCCGGGACUGCAUUGGAAACUGUCAGGCUAGAGUGUCGGAGAGGCAAGUGGAAUUCCUAGUGUAGCGGUGAAAUGCGUAGAUAUCAGGAGGAACACCGGCGGCGAAGGCGGCUUACUGGACUGUAACUGACGUUGAGGCUCGAAGGCGUGGGGAGCAAACAGG